ACAAUCAGUUGUUUACUAAUUAAUAUUGCGGGAGAGUGGCAACUCCCGGCUAAUCGAAAUGUCGAAAAUCCCGAGCGGCACAAAAAGGAAUAUGACAAUGGUAAAUAAAUUAUGACUUGCAGCAUAAUUUCCGUCGAAAAAAUGGCUUCCGAUAAAUUGAUGAUGAGCCUUCCGCUGUAGAAAUAAAAUAAUCUAGGCAAUUGCAUGGAUACCAAACGGACUAAAGCACUUCAAGAAUUAAUUAAUCGAUUAAUCGAAACUUCUUUCUGUUGGAAAGUAAUGUGAAUUACUUGGAAACUUAAUGUGCUCUGCACACUCCAUACCCCAUGGUUUGAGCCAGCUGCCUGCUGCUGUGAAAGUCUUAUGCCCACCGUCUACCAUUGAUGAAGAUAUUCACCAUGCGCCAAACCUUGGAAAAGAGCCGUGAAAAGAGUAUCGUUAAGCAACACAAAAAACUCCGUCAAGAUCACGAUUGAACACACCGUGCUCUACGAUACCUAACGAGGUUUCAGACAAUGUGAUUCCUUAUGAUGUGACUACAUUAAUUUACGAGCUGCAGAGCUUGAAUAGAGAAGGUACAGUCUUCUGUAAGGCGUAUGAUGCCGAUGAUAUUGACAUUAAUGGAAGCGUAGGCCAGACGAAGUAUCUCCCAUCAUCCAACAAGCAGUAUUGAAAUCCAAACAGAGAAUAACUCUUGCCAACAGGUACUAAUUAGGCAAUUGAAAUGUCAAGUCCUCCCUUGAAGAAUGAAAACCAAAGUCUACAAGUCGCUCAUCACUGCCCACCUGUCGACAUCUGAGUAGUCGGCCCUGGGAGUUUACUAUAGAUCUUUUAUAUAGGAAUUCACGCAAAUAGCGAUAUAAAUAGAGAUGUACAUACAUGCAUACAUUUGUUUUGGAUCAAUUCAAAAUU